GCUUCCUUCCCCAUCGUCGCGAGUCGCCCCGGCCUCUGGCUGUCGCCCGCGCUACUGCAAGCCGCCGCCGACCUCAUCUGCCGGAUGCCAUGGCCAUCGAGCAAAGCUCCGUCGGAACUUCCAGGCGGCGGCGGCUCCAGUGGGUGCCAACGAAGCCAGCCAGCGCCGCCAGGAGGAUGAGCCCGCCAAGGGUGGACACGGGCCAGCGCGAACUCCAACCCCCGCCCAUCCCCAUGCGUACGCGAUCAGAUCCCCGAGGCGAUGACGGGGACGACGCAGAUGUCCGCGUCACGCACACCGUGAUGUUGGGGAUCACCCCCAUAUCUGGAUGCUCAAGUUGUGCUACUGCUGCUCACCCAGACUAUAUACAUACUUGUGUUGUGCAGCCACAUGAAUUCUUCCAAGAUGAUUAGCGAGACCACUGCCCCUUUAUCCUCUUCCCCCAACCCCUAUUCCUCUGUUAAUCCCACAAGCAUAUUGUGUUCCUCCAGACCUAACCAAAGUGAAAUCGCUGAUUUGGUGAUUGACUUCUCGGCUUCAUGGUGUGGGCCCUGCCAACGCAUCAAGUCGGCCUUGAGAUGGCCCCUGCUUCCUCGACGCCAUCACCACGUCAACAAGCUCUGGGUACCUGCCACCAUAUCUAUCCCUGCUUCAUGUUGUUCAGUCUAGAUCAACUAAUCAACGUGUGUAACCUGGUUUCAGUUUGUGCAAUUGGGAAGGGAAAAAGUCUAUGAUUCUGUUUGAUCUUGGACAUGUAUCUAGCUUAUGCAUUCCGUUUAGUGAAUUCCAUCCAUGUUUUGCCAUUUAAUAGGAUAUGUCGUUAGUGCUCAGUUCCAGUAGAUUUGGAUGCAUCCUUUAAGACAGAUCUCAGAUGAAUCAAGAUGGCAGCAAUGCUUCUGAUGUUGAACAUGCGGAGCAUUAAGUAAAAUAUUAUUCAUCACAAAUUAUCUACCAUGUGUUGUUGGGUUCUAUAUUUCGCUCUAAAAAAAAUUCUUCUCAUCAAGAGUAAAUUGGUUUCAAGUAAUUUUAGAUUUUAGACUCUGCCCAACGUGUGGGGCGUGCCUAAUUUGAUUAGGUGGUUGCCUGGUUAAACAGGAGGGAAAGCUAACCUUAGUUGCCGCUUGCUGUCGCUUUCAGCAGCUCUUUACUUUACCAACAUGAGAGUGGGAUAGGUGGCAUAGGCAUAUGUUGGGUGGGGUUACCUUUGUUUACUUUUCUUACCCUUUCUGGUUUAAACAGGAUGCGCAUUGUCGCUUUAUGUCACCUUGUGAGAAUUAUUAGCAUGCUUUCAUAUGGAGGUAUUGUUUGUUUGGAUUAUGUAGAUCCAUGGGAGAUGUUUGUGAUCGCAUGUGCCGCCCUACUGAAAAUGGGACAGAUUGGAAACAUUGACCCUGACUGUAGACUUAUUGGCCUUCACCUCUAUGAUGGAUUGUUUUUUUUGGGGGAGGACUAUGAGGGAUUGUUUAAGGCACUACUAACCUCUUGUACAUGUGUGCACAUUGGGACAAUGAUGAUUUUUCAUGGGGAGGAAUGAUUGUCGAGGAGGUUGAGCAGAUGAUAGUCAGGUGGAACAUACGGAGACUGAUAUGUCUACCAAAAUGUUGAGUAACAUCUUGAGGGUAAGCUAUAUGAAUGUUAAUGAUGAGGUGUGAUGCCCACUGUUUUCAGAUUAGAUGCAUUGUUUCAUUAUUCAAGUUUCCAAUUGUACGUUGAAAAAAAAUUCUCUCAAGUGUUUGAGAUAAUUUCCUUUUUCUUUUUGAAAACCAUCAUCAGGUUCUGAUCUCAUUUUAAAGUUGUCUAUGAAGUAUGAAGUAUGCAGUAGGAAAAUGCCACAUAUAAUCAGUGGCUAUGUAUUUCCUCAUUUCGUGGGAGGCAUGUUAACAAUCUUAUGUUGUCUUAUAAUUUGCCUUGAUUUUUUUAUUUCAUAAUUUAUCUUGAAA